UGCAUCGUGAGGUGGAAUCUGAAGGAAGCUGUAGGCAAAGCUUCAGGCCUUAAGAAACACGAAUUACAUAUAAGGCCAUACAAUCUGGAUGAGUUUGCCAUCCAAAAUGAAAUCCAAUACUACCAAAAGAUUGUAUGGUAGGUGUAGCAGGUAGAUGGGGUGAAGGCUAUUAUU
rfam:Actinobacteria bacterium RBG_13_35_12 RBG_13_scaffold_1479, whole genome shotgun sequence.